rnacentral:misc_RNA from 1 species
AAGUCGUAACAAGGUUUCCGUAGGUGAACCUGCGGAAGGAUCAUUACCAUAUCCAAAUUUACCAACCCACCGUGUGAACCGUUUUUUAAGGAAAAAGCUUUCAACAGUUUUUUUGGCCUUGAGAACACUAUGAACUUUGGGGGAACACUACGCACUAAACUAAGGGAAAAGUGCAAGGAAAGGUGCAGCAAUGCUAUCGAUCCUUGUGUUAUUACCAAUUAGUUUUUGUUUGGUUUCCCCAUUUGCAUUUUCACAAAUGCAGAGUUGUUUGUAUGUUUUUAAACCGUCAAAACCUCUGAAGAAGCUGUUUCCAAAACCUUUAAACACCUUGUCAAACCAAACCUUUAACCUUAAAAACAUUUUUUUGCCUAAAAAACAAAAAGAUAAAAACGAAAAACCAAUAGACAACUUACAACGGUGGAUCUCUUGGCUCGU